AUCUAUUUACAAAAUAUGUAAAACCUAUUGCGUUUCUCCCUGUGUUCACAAGACACAAGUUCACAAUUAAUAGUUAUAUGGACAAACGUUAAAUGAAAAAAAAUAUUUAAAAAACUUAAAUAAUAUAUAAUAAAAAUUUUUUGAAACUGAAUUGUUAGCUCAACUAUGCAACCACUAGCAACUCCGGAUGAACUUGUUAACAAGUCCAUCUGGACUUGCACCAAGCCAGUGGUCUUUUAGUCAUUUUAAAAUCGAUUUAAAGGUAUAUUAAAUUAAAAUAAUUGUUCUUACACUAAAAUAAAUGAAUUUUCCUUACACUAAGAGAAAUGCAAACCUUAAAAGAAAAUGAUUUAGUCAAACAAUAAAAAGUUUAUACUGGUUCAUUACCUACAGGAGAAUUAUUUCUUUAAAAACAUCACUCAUUUGGCUAUUAUCCACAAGUCAAAAAUGGACUUAUCUGGACUAAUGUUUGUUAAAAGUUUAUGCUUAUAACAAAAUUAUUAUUGCAAACACUGACUUUGAUUAAUGCUAGUUUUUAGAUAUUACUGAUAAACUUUUUUUAAUAAAAAAUAUAUUUUAUCGUGCUUAAUAAUAAAUAUUAUAUUUCUUAUAUUUUUACUGUUUUAUAAGAACUGUUUCAUAAAGUUUACAUAAGUUUUCAUAAGCAGUUUACAGUCCAAAUUUGAUUAGUUGAUCCAUAUAAAACAAUUUUUUUCAUUUCAUAAAACAUUUCCUUUCGUUCUUGCUUUUUUUAAUUAUUUGUUGUAUGGCACAUUCCAAAUUUUUAUGCUGCUAUUGGUGCUAUUGUUGUUGACUUUCUAUAACCUCUUCGUUCAUUUAAAAAGGCAAGAAUGUUUAGUGUUACAUCUAAAGGUUUACACAGAUCAUUAAAUAAAAAACCCUAUCAGCCGUUACAGAAUCAUCACUCUCCCAUAGCUUUUUUUUGCAAAGGCAGUUGCUUAACUAUGAAAAACAAAUAUCAGAGCCAAAAAAAUUAGUUUACUAACAAAUGAUAAUGCACCAGAAAGAGCAAUUCCAACUAAUACUUUAUAGGUAAUGCAGUAAACUGUACGUUGGAAGGUUUUUGACAAAACAAUUUGAUACAAUUAAUAACUUUCACUUGAGGAUAUGUCUCUUUAAAACAUUUAGGUAUAUUAUGUUUAAGUGAUUUAAAUUUGGCCAAAUUUGUUUUGCACAAAGUUUAAGGUGUAUAAAACUUAGCUGUGUAUAUAAGGUAUUUCUAAACAGAUUGGUACUUUAAAUAACCAGAUAAGUAAGCAAGUGAAACUUCUUCAAGUAAAACUUCAAGUCUAAGCUAUGUUAAAAACAUAAAUAGUUGGUCAAUCAGUUUCAUUUUUGACCGCAUAUGAAUUCUGGUGUGAAAUAUAAAGGAGAUGAAAACAAUUCUUUAGGUAGCCUUUUCUCAGAAAAUUAUUUUCCAUGUUUUCACAUUCUUUUUCAAGAUUUAAACAUUCAAAUAAAACUUUUCAUUUUUUCAUGCCAGUAAAUGAGUUGAAAUAUUUAAAAUAUUUAACUUUCAACAUUUUCGUAGUUAAAAAUAUUACUUUUGAAUUGUUUUUUUUUUUUUUUCAUGUUUUUGAACUUUUAUAUUCUUCAUGCAAGCUUCUAUAACUUCUAUAACUUUCAUGACAUACUUCCAACUUUUUUCAAUGAAUGUUUUUUUGGAUAACAAAAGUUUACAUUUUUUAUAAUCAACUUUUUCCGUAGAAUCGAUUAUUGUAUGAGUUUUUUUUAUAAAUAUUAGCUGUAAAAUCUAGAUAUUUUGACUUUUUUCAUGGAGAUUUUCUAGGUAAUUUCUUUUGCAGUGUGUUGAAUGUCAAUAAUUCGUUUUUCCAAGCUUUGUAAACAUCGAAUUUUGUAAGCAUCAACUUUAUUUUUCUCCGUAUUGCUAUUGUAAAACGAACUUCCACAUAGUGUUAUAAAACAAUACAUUCUUCUUCAAUCUUUUUUCAUUUCCUUGUUGGAGAAAGACUUGUUUAAAAGAGAGAAAUUAUUAUUUAAAUUUAAUUAUUUUGAAUUUGAGUUUUUAUCAGUUUAUAUUUUUGCCCUUACUGGCCUCUUUUUCAAGCUGAGAAAUUAGUUGCGCAAUCGAAUUAGAGAAAUGUCUAUUCUAAACGUCUUUUUCGCGUCCAAUAAAAGAUCCAGAGUGCUUUAUUAAAUCGAAAUUAAUUUAAUUAAAUCACGCAAUCAUCAAGACAUAUUUAUUUUUGUUAAUUAAAAACGCAUUUUUAAUACAAAUGUAGAAGAAACUUUCAAGUGUAAAAGAACUUUCAAAUGUUAAAGGAGUUUUUUAUGGCAUCUCGAAAUAAUGAAUGAAGAGUGACUAAUAGACAGUUUAAGACUGUUUAGUCGAUUACUACAGCAAAAAAGACUGUCAACUUGUGAUUGCAAAUACACUAAAACAUGAACCUGGAUGAAAAGAGGGCAAACGAUGUCAUUUGUUCGAAGAAUCUUUUCUUCAAGGAGGAACAAGAAGUUUAAUUUAUAAAAAUUCUUUCAAAAUUAUCGAAAAUAUAUAUUUUAAAACGUU
rnacentral:lncRNA from 1 species